rnacentral:rRNA from 1 species
UCGGGGUACUAGUUACUUCGGUGAUGCACUUAACAGAUUAAGUGUUCCGCCUGGGGAGUACGGUCGCAAGAUUAAAACUCAAAGGAAUAGACGGGGACCCGCACAAGUGGUGGAGCAUGUGGUUUAAUUCGAAGAUACGCGAAGAACCUUACCUAGCCUUGACAUUGAUAAAACACUCUAGAGAUAGAGUGGUGCCCUUCGGGGAAUUUGAAAACAGGUGCUGCACGGCUGUCGUCAGCUCGUGUCGUGAGAUGUUGGGUUAAGUCCCGCAACGAGCGCAACCCUCGUCCUUAGUUGCCAGCAGUUCGGCUGGGCACUCUAAGGAGACUGCCUUCGCAAGGAGGAGGAGGGUGAGGACGACGUCAAGUCAUCAUGGCCCUUAUGGCUAGGGCUACACACGUGCUACAAUGGGGCGUACAGAGAGUUGCGAUACCGCGAGGUGGAGCCAACCUCAUAAAGCGUCUCUCAGUUCGGAUUGUAGUCUGCAACUCGACUACAUGAAGCUGGAAUCACUAGUAAUCGUAGAUCAGCAAUGCUACGGUGAAUACGUUCCCGGGUCUUGUACUCACCGCCCGUCACACCAUGGGAGUUGAUUUCACCCGAAAUUGGGAAGCUAACCUUCGGGAGGCUACCACUUACGGUGGAAUUAGCGACUGGGGUGAAGUCGUAACAAGGUAACC